rnacentral:misc_RNA from 1 species
UUUCCGUAGGUGAACCUGCGGAAGGAUCAUUAUUGUAUAACCGAGGUGCGAGGGCUGUCGCUGACCCGAAAGGUCGUGCACGCCCGAGUGCCCUCACACACAUCCAUCUCACCCCUAUGUGCACCACCGCGUGGGUCCCCCUUUGGCUUGUUCGGAGGGGGGCUUACGUUUUCACACAAACUUUGUAUGCAGUGUAGAAUGUAUUUUUUGUUUUUGCGAUCACGCAAUCAAUACAACUUUCAACAACGGAUCUCUUGGCCCUCGCAUCGAGGAAGAACGCAGC